AUACGGAGGGUGCAAGCGUUAAUCGGAAUUACUGGGCGUAAAGGGUACGUAGGCGGUUUGUUAAGUUGGGUGUGAAAGCCCAGGGCUCAACCUUGGAACUGCAUUUGAAACUGGUAGGCUAGAGUAUGGUAGAGGGGGGUAGAAUUUCUGGUGUAGCGGUGAAAUGCGUAGAUAUCAGAAGGAAUACCAGUGGCGAAGGCGGCCCCCUGGCCCAAUACUGACGCUGAGGUACGAAAGCGUGGGUAGCGAACGGGAUUAGAAACCCCAGUAGUCC
rnacentral:rRNA from 1 species